UACGUAGGGUGCGAGCGUUAAUCGGAAUUACUGGGCGUAAAGCGUGCGUAGGCGGUUCGUUAAGUCAGCUGUGAAAGCCCCGGGCUCAACUUGGGAACUGCGGUUGAAACUGGCGAACUAGAAUCUGGCAGAGGGGGGUGGAAUUCCACGUGUAGCAGUGAAAUGCGUAGAGAUGUGGAGGAACACCGAUGGCGAAGGCAGCCCCUUGGGCUGAGAUUGACGCUCAGGCACGAAAGCGUGGGGAGCAAACAGG
rnacentral:rRNA from 1 species